rnacentral:rRNA from 1 species
CGUGAGCAAUCUGCCUUGGAGUGGGGAAUAACGGCUGGAACAGCCGCUAAUACCGCAUGACGCGUCUGGGAGGCAUCUCUCUGGACGCCAAAGAUUUAUCGCUCUGAGAUGAGCUCGCGUCUGAUUAGCUGGUUGGCGGGGUAACGGCCCACCAAGGCGACGAUCAGUAGCCGGACUGAGAGGUUGGCCGGCCACAUUGGGACUGAGACACGGCCCAGACUCCUACGGGAGGCAGCAG